UGAACAACGAUGAACGUGAUCCCGUGUAUUUAGGGCUACCAGAGUUUUCUAAACUUCUAGAUGAUUGAUUUUAAAUUUUAAUCGUCAGGAAGUAAACCAGCUGAACCUAUGAAAGACAAAAAUUCCAAAGUUCCUCAACGUCCAGACCAGAACCAUCAGGGACUUCACCCUCGGAUCAACCGAUUUCCUCGCGAACAUCCACCCCAAACACCAUUUGAGACUUGCCCAUUGCCUGUUGUUCUGCGUGAACAUCUGAACUAUCAGUAACCAAAUUGGGCUGGUACAAUUCUCUUUACGAAUUUGCCAUCACUCUUCCUCCAACUCUUUCAGUAAUGAUAUGUACAAAUAAUAGUGACACACAUCAUUUUCCUUUGAUUCAGCCUGAUACAUAAAUCUCUUGUGGGCUUGUGGUGUGUGGGUAGUCGAAAUAACCUGUGGUUGUGCCAUUGUUCUUGGCUCCACUUACCCACCCAUAUCUCCUCCUUUUCCAUCCAUCACAGGGGCAGAUGCUAAUAUAUAUUUCAGCCUCCCAUCAUCAAUAUAGCUAUACCAUCUCGUUGGAGUUCUUUCAAUAAUUCUGACUUAUGUAUAUAACUCGGGCCCACCAUCUUAACACUAAACUUUUUGCUACUCUCGGGCACCCUAACCUCAAUUCAAUUUAUAAUGCGUCCUGGUUACUAAGUGAUGUUGGCCUUAACCUAACUAAUACUCAUCCUACUUAUUUCCACGAUUUCAUGGCUAAAUAUCAUCAAUUAGUUAAUCUCAAUCUGAAAAUAGUUUGGGUUUUUCUCUUAUCCUUGUUUUGUUCUUAUUCCUUUUAUUAAAAUUGGGUUCUUCAUCAACAACUUAUUUUCCUUCAGACGCGGGAAAUAAAAUGACGUUUAAUUUGUAUCUCAGAGUUAUCCGGACAUAUACAAAGUACAGAAUACAUUUCAUCCUGGUGAAUUUGCUAUACAAAAUUUGCUUUUCAAAACGUUAAUAGAACUAUAGACUGCGUAUUUUAAAUACAGCCAAAAUACGUUUUCAAGUCUACAAUAAAUAACAAAAACCGCUUGUUGCACCAUAAAAUUAGACCACCAAGCCCAAUGUUAAGAUAUGCAUAUGUAGUGUAUUUAUCUAGAUUAAAUUGAAUGAUUUUGGGAUUUCUUUCAAUGUAAUAGAUUGCAAUAAAAUAAAUAAAGAAAAUUCAACGCUAGCACACGUUUCUUGUUUGUCUCCCGGCUUGAUGAAUGAGUUUCAUCACUAAUGCAUAAAUUCUUAACUUGACGAAUGCUCAAACUAGUUUGCAUCUUAAUUUUCCUCACUUUGAUACAUUUCAAUACAUUUUAUUCUGCAUACCAAUGAUGGUGGCAAUUGAAGUACACACAUCUGUAUGUCCUGUAUGUACUUCAAGACCCUAUUUUUUAAUUGUAGAAUAUAUGUAGAAUUAUGCACAACUUGACCGCCAAAAUUUCAUUGUUCAUUGGGCUUGAGAAGUAUAAAAGAAGAGGCCUAUACCGCCAAUUAUUCAUUUACAUUAACAGUUUCACACCUCAAAGCACGUAUCGCACCUUCAGUAAACCUUCACAAACAUGGCGACUACACAGGGAGACGACAAAUCUGCGGGCCCUCAUUGUGAAACAAAAAGGCGAUAUUGUGAGACUUGUCAUCAGGCCCCGAUUUAGGGGCGGGCAACCCGGGCAGCUGCCCGGGGCGCCAAACCCCGGAGGGGUGCCGGUAGGCGCCCCGGAGGGGUGCCGGUAGGCGCCCCGGUUUACACUAGAUAUAAUUGAAUUUUCCUGUUGUAAAUUUUGAAAUUAUUUUGCUUGGAGUUUUUAUUUUUAUCAAGUUUGGACAACUCGUUGCGACAGUUCUGGUGUGUUGAGGCACCACUGCAAUUUUUGAAACGCGCAGCUUCUAAAUUUUCACCCAUGCUCUAAAUAGAGGGAUUUUAUGCAGAAAUUUGGCUGGGUUUUACGCAGAGAAUUGGCUGGAUUUUGUACAGAAAAAAUGUAUGCCGAAACAAUUUAUGCACAAAAUGUGCAAAAUUAUGCAUAAUUGUACUAAACCUUUCUGCAGAAUCAUUCAUACAUAGUUUUUCUGCACAAACCAUUCUUCCGGCCAAUUGUGUAGAAUUAUUUCAAUUCGACAUACAUACGAUUUUCACUAGGGAUGGAAUAAAUUUUACAUUUUUACAUUUUACGAGAAUUUUAAAACUAAAUCGGAGGGUUAGUGAUAAAAAAUUGCUUAGGAAAAAUUACACUGAGGAUGAAUUUCGGGAUAUUUCUAAAUUAGGUAAAAACGUUACCUAGUUAAAACUGCUCAUUGAAAUCUAGAAGAAUACAGGAAAACUUUAAAUUUUUGUAAUUUGAAAAUAAAACGCAAAAAAAUAAAAAAUCUUAAAUAAACAUGUCCCCAAGGGUCAGUGAGUCAGCGGACGGAGCGGAUGUGCGCUUCGCGCACAUCCGCUCGGCUUGGUUUGACCUGCAUAUGAGGUCAGCGUUAGACUUACCUGGCCUCUGGGGAGGUGGGAAAGUAUGGUUUUAACUCGAAAUAAACCGGGGAGGCCCAAAUAUAUGAGUUGUAUUUGAGAAAUAAGCUUUUAAGUUGAAUCUGUGGCCUACAAAUAUUGAUCUGCUCAAUAUUACGCAAAUUUUAAGCUAUUCCACAUUAAAACUGCUGGAGAGUAAAAAGUUUGCUAUCUCAUUGUAUAUGUCCAUUCUAAUAAGACCUGCGUAAAAAUAUUUUGCGCAAUUAUUUGAUUGAGAAAAAAGUCACGUGCGAGCGCCGAAGGCGCGAGCGGCUAUGGGCGCCUAAUUUCUUUGCCCAGGUAAGAUUUUGGGGUAGAUCGGGGCCUGCUUGUCAUACAACUUUCGUAAGUACAUCAUAUUUACCUAGGACAGUGAAGAAAAGAAACGACUAGAGAAGAAGGUCGAGCAAAAUUGCGAGACCUUCCACAAGAUAUUAAAGCGCCGAAAUCAAGAGUUGUUUCGUGGAAUGACCAACAGUAGCCGUGACCAACUGCUGCUGUUGGGUCACAUCGCAGCUAUUUACUUCCAAUUAAGUUCCCCACCUGCAGCAGCCCUGAGAAUUCCCCAGCCAAGCAGCCCAGAACCCAACAACCAUAAUGCGUAAUAGCGUAUUAUGUAAGAGUAAUAAUAUAUUAUGUAAAGAUGAAAUGAAAUUUUGUCCAGUCUUGAAAGAUUGAAAUAAAUUUGGUUAAAUUAUGAA